UUUCUUUGAGAAUUACAGACCACAGCCCUAAGGAGUAAAGAGCCAAACUCUCCCGGAAGACAGGGUGUGCUACAUGUGAAAACAGCUGCUUCAGACGCCAGCACAUCUGUCCGGGUGAAGCCACAUCCGACUCACUGCCUGAGCACCUGCUUCUCCUGCAAGUAGCGCCCCCGUCCCUUUCCCCCACGCUUUCCCUUUAAAACUCUCCAGCUUUGCCUGGGUGGGGAAGAUGGUCUCUGAAACAUCAGUCCAACCAGGGCUUCCCAGGUUGCCAGCUUCCUGAAGCAAGCCAACUUUCCUUUCCCACCAUCACUCGGCUCUCAAAUAUUGAUUUUCAAGCGACCAGAGCAAGACCACAAUAGCUAACUGCCUUUGAAGAUAAAAAAACCACGUGGUGGAACUAUUCUCUGAAGCUUCUCUGUUGGUGCCUAAGAGACCACAGGAAUCCCAGGACUCACAUAUGAGGUGCAAAUGGAAGGGGAUGGGCAAGUCACUGAAUAAAUGGUAAUGAGUACCAAGACUAUAAAGGAAACUUACAUAAAGUCUCCACAAUCCUCCAUCCAGGCUGGCGCUGAGUCAUCAGGAUCACUAUCCUGGGCCCAGAGGACAAGACAGAAAACAAUUCCAUGUGUAUUAUCGAAGGCACAUUGCAUCAGGAGGAGAUAAACA